CCCUUAGAUGUUCUGGGCUGCACGCGCGCUACACUGAUGCGUUCAACGAGUAUAUAACCUUGCCCGAUAGGGUUGGGUAAUCUUCUGAAAACGCAUCGUGAUGGGGAUAGAUUAUUGUAAUUAUUAAUCUUCAACGAGGAAUUCCUAGUAAGCGUGAAUCAUCAGUUCAUGCUGAUUACGUCCCUGCCCUUUGUACACACCGCCCGUCGCUCCUACCGAUUGAGUGGUCCGGUGAAUAAUUCGGACCUACGAGACUAGGGGUUCGCUCCUUAUCUUGUGGGAAAGUCUAGUGAACCUUAUCACUUAGAGGAAGGAGAAGUCGUAACA
rnacentral:rRNA from 1 species